rnacentral:snRNA from 1 species
CAGUGUUCACCUCUGCAACAUUAAAAUUUGAAUGACACACACACAAAAAAACUGGCAUAGCCCCUGCAUAAGGAUGACACAAAUAUUUGUGAAAUAUUUCAUAUAUUU